rnacentral:rRNA from 1 species
UACGUAGGGGGCAAGCGUUGUCCGGAAUCAUUGGGCGUAAAGCGCACGUAGGCGGAUGUGUCAGUCAGGGGUGAAAUCCCGGAGCUCAACUUCGGAACUGCCUUUGAUACAGCACGUCUUGAGUCCGGAAGAGGUGGGUGGAAUUCCUAGUGUAGAGGUGAAAUUCGUAGAUAUUAGGAAGAACACCGGUGGCGAAGGCGGCCCACUGGUCCGGUACUGACGCUGAGGUGCGAAAGCGUGGGGAGCAAACAGG